AUUGAACGCUGGCGGCAUGCUUUACACAUGCAAGUCGAACGGUAACAGCACUUCGGUGGCUGACGAGUGGCGAACGGGUGAGUAAUACAUCGGAACGUGCCUAGUAGUGGGGGAUAACUACUCGAAAGAGUAGCUAAUACCGCAUGAGAUCUAAGGAUGAAAGCAGGGGACCUUCGGGCCUUGCGCUACUAGAGCGGCUGAUGGCAGAUUAGGUAGUUGGUGGGAUAAAAGCUUACCAAGCCGACGAUCUGUAGCUGGUCUGAGAGGACGACCAGCCACACUCGGACUGAGCCACGGCCCAGACUCCUACGGGAGGCAGCAGUGGGGAAUUUUGGGCAGUGGGCGCAAGCCUGAUCCAGCAAUGCCGCGUGCAGGAUGAAGGCCUUCGGGUUGUAAACUUCUCUGGCACGGAAUGAAAAGCCGUCUUCUAAUACGGGGAGGUCUUGGCGGUACCGUAGGAAUAAGCACCAGCUAACUACGUG
rnacentral:rRNA from 1 species